GAAGGAGGCGGAGGCUCUGGGAGCUGGUAGCUGGGCGACUGGCUGAUGGGCGAGGGAGGGCGAGGGAGGGCGCCGCAACGGAACGAGGAACCCGGACAGUGAAGGAGGAAGAAACAAAGGAGCCAGCAGCACUAGAGAGUUCCCUUCUGGAGGAAAACUAGUGUUUCUGCUACUGCUUCAGUGAGCGCAACUAAUCUGAUCAGCAUGGUCCAGGGACAGUUGAGAGUUCUUGGGCAAGAGGGGAAUCUGCUGCUGCAUCGAUGGGAAACACUCAGGCUCACCCUUGAAAUGCAUCUUAAGCCAUUGGGACCAAUUUGACCCACAAACCCUGAAAAAGAAGCAGCUUAUUUUUUUCUGCACUGUGGCCUGGCCCCAAUAUUCUCUCUCUGAUGGGGAAAAAUGGCCACCUGAGGGAAGUAUAAAUUACAAUACUAUCCUGCAGCUUGACCUUUUCUGUAAGAGGGAAGGCAAAUGGAGUGAAAUACCUUAUGUCCAAGCUUUCUUUUCAUUGAAGAAUAAUCCACAACUAUGCAAAACUUGCAAUUUACAUUUCACAGGAGGACCUCUCAGCUUACCUCCAUAUCCUGGCCACCCUACAGCUCCCCUUCCUAUUAAUGAUAAGCCUCCUCUAAUCUCCCCUGCCCAGGAAGAAACAAGCAAAGAAAUCUCUAAGGGACCACAAAAACCCCCAGGCUAUCAGUCAUGUCCCCUUCAAUCUGUAGGGGGAGGGGAAUUUGGCCCAACCUGGGUACAUGUCCCUUUCUCCCUCUCUGCUUUAAAGCAGAUCAAGGUAGACCUGGGGAAGUUUUUGGAUGAUCCUGAUAGGUAUAUAGAUGUCUUACAGGGUCUAGGGCAAACCUUCAACCUCACUUGGAGAGAUGUCAUGCUAUUGUUAGAUCAAACCCUGGCCUUUAACGAAAAGAAUGCAGCUUUGGCUGCAGCCUGAGAGUUUGGAGAUACCUGGCAUCUUAGUCAAGUAAACGAUAGAAUGACAGCUGAAGAAAGGAACAAAUUCCCUACCGGUCAGCAAGCCGUCCCCAGUAUGAAUCCCCACUGGGACCUUGACUCAGAUCAUGGAGACUGGAGUCACAAACAUCUGCUGACCUGUGUUCUAGAAGGGUUAAGGAGAAUUAGGAAAAAGCCCAUGAAUUAUUUAAUGAUAUCCACCAUAACUCAAGGAAAGGAAGAAAAUCUUUCCCCCUUCCUCAAGUGGCUACGGGAGGCCUUAAGAAAAUAUACUCCCCUGUCACCCAACUCCGUUGAGGGUCAAUUGAUCCUCAAAGAUAAGUUUAUUACCCAAUCAGCCGCAGAUACCAGGAGAAAGCUCCAAAAGCGAGCCCUGGGCCCUGAACAAAAUCUGGAGGCAUUAUUAAACCUAGCAACCUCGGUGUUCUAUAAUAGGGACCAAGAGGAAUAGGCUGAGAAGGAAAAGUGAAAUCAGAGAAAGGCCACAGCCUUAGUCAUGACCCUCAGACAAACAAACCUUGGUGGUUCAGAGAGGACAGAAAAUGGAGCAGGCCAAUAACCCAGUAGGGCUUUUCACCAGUGUGGUUUGCAAGGACACCUUAAAAAAAGUUGUCCAUUGAGAAACAAGCCGCCCCCUCGCCCAUGUCCACUAUGCCGAGGCAAUCACUGGAAGGCACACUGCCCCAGAGGACAAAGGUUCUCUGGGCCAGAAGCCCCCAACCAGAUGAUCCAACAACAGGACUGAGGGUGCCUGGGGCAAGCACCAGCUCAUGUCAUCACCCUCACUGAGCCCUGGGUAUGUUUAACCAUUGAGGGCCAGGAAAUUGACUUCCUCCUGGACACUGGUGGGGCCUUCUCAGUGUUAAUCUCCUGUUGCUCACUCUUUGGGUCCGUGCCACCUUUAAGAGUUGUAACACUCACUGUGAAGGUCUGCAGCUUCAUUCUUGAAGUCAGCGAGACCACGAACCCACCGGAAGGAACAAACUCUGGACACAAUAUGACUUGGUGAAAAGUUGCUCAGUACAAUGGGCAUGGCGUAAAAGGACAUUCUGCCCUUUCCUUCCAUCUGUGAGGCCAUUUUGGCUCCUCAUAAACUGUUCUUUUCAUGGCAAUUAUAGUUGUUCAUGUCUUGCAAGUCAUAGCCCUCUGACCUGCAACAAAACCUAUUUUAGCUCUUCUGGCUGGGCACAGUGGCUCAUGCCUGUAAUCCCAGCACUUUGGGAGGCUGAGGUGGGUGGAUCACCUGAGGUCAGGAGUUUGAGACCAGCCUGCCCAACAUGGGGUUUUGGUGAAACCUGUUUGUACUAAAAAUACAAAAAUUAGCCAGGCGUGGUAGUGCACGCUAUAGUCCCAGCUACUUGGGAGGCUGAAGCAGGAGGAUUCCUUGAACCUGGGAGGCAGAGGUUGCCGUGAGCCAAGAUCUUGCCACUGUACUCCAGCCUGGGUGACAGAGCGAGACUCUCUCUCUCAAAAACAAAAACAAAAACAAAAACAAAAACAAAAAACUAUUUUAGCUCUUCUGAGCCAUUCCUAAUGUUUUAGAAAUAACUGGUCAGAUCUUAAACAAAUUUUUCACAUGUUCUAGGAAAUGAACAGAUGAACGUAUUUCAUGCAGACCACGGCCCAGUAGUAUCAAUUCAUCUCAGAGAAGCAUGACAGAGAGACAGUGUCCUCUGCCAUGCACUGUGCCUGAUUCUACUUGCUUUCAGUCCUGGAGAACUUGAGGCAAUAUUUCCUCAUUGCCUUUGGCAAUUUAAGUUACCCUUGGUAGAUGCAAUACUAUUGGCAUGCCAAGCUGCUAAUUACUUGGAACGUUUGAUCAGGCUGCCAGAGGCUAAGGUCAGCUAGUCCUCUGACUUUCAGUCUUCAGUCUUCCCUAAGCCUCAGCUCUCCACGCUUCAGUGACACUUUCUCAUGGUAUCACGCUCUCAGUUUCAUGCUCAGCUUUUAAUCAGGUAAAAUAUCAAAUGUGGUAGUUGAACAAAAUUCAAAGGAAAUAUCACAAUCAUAACUUCCAUAUCUCUUGCUAUUGAGAAGACAUUCUGAAGGGAGGAGAACACAUUUUGGUCCUUUUUAGUUGACAAGAGUCAUAGAUGCAGAUGAUGAACAGUAGGCCGGAUGGAGACUGUAGGUUAGUGGAGGGUAUGUGCUCCUUCUACAGAGAGUACGACUACUUCACUACAACAGGCUGUUGCCAGAUAGGCCUAGUGAAGCCAAGGCUUGUUUUCUAAGAGAAGCCUAGCACUUUGGGAGGCCGAGUCAGGUGGAUCACAAAGUGCUAGGAUUACUGGUGUGUGCCACCAUGCCUGGCUGCCCUCAAGUUUUAAAUGUUCACCACCAUUAAAUUUUUUUUUUUUUGAGAUGGAGUCUCGAUCUGUCGCCCAGGCUAGAGUGCAGUGGCACGAUCUCGGCUCACUGCCAGCUCCACCUCCCAGGUUCACGCCAUUCUCCUGCCUCAGCCUCCUGAGUAGCUGGGACUACAGGUGCCUGCCACCACGCCUGGCUAAUUUUUUGUAUUUUUAGUAGAGACAGGGUUUCACCAUGUUAGCUGGGAUGGUCUUGAUCUCCUGACCUCAUGAUCCGCUUACCUCGGCCUCCCAGAGUGCUGGGAUUACAGGCAUGAGCCACUAUGCCCGGCCUAAAAUUUUUUUUUAAAUAUUGUGGGGACCAAAACAAAAUGUUUGUGACCAGAUUCAACCCAUAGGUACCAGUUUGGGAUCUCUGGUCUAGAGUCUGUUCUAGUUGUGAAAUCUGUAACCGGAGAAAAAGCAUCAUAUUUCUGAGAGGGACUGAUGACAUCUAAGUAUAAAUCUUAUGAGUGCCUUUAUAGGGCCAAGGGCAGUGGCUCACACCUAUAAUCCCAGCACUUUGGGAGACUGAGUCAAGUGGAUCACCUGAGGUCAGGAAUUUGAGACCAGCCUGCCCAACCUGGCCAACAGGGCAAAACCCCAUCUCUACUAAAAAAAUACAAAAAUUCACUGAGCGUGGUGGUGCGUGCCUGUAGUCCCAGCUACUCAGGAGGCUGAGGCAGGAGAAUCGCUUGAACCUGGAAAGCAGAGGUUGCGGUGAGCCAAGAUUGCACCACUGUAUUCUCCCGGCCAUAUGUAGGGGCAAAGAAGAGUGAAAAUGCAGGUGUAUUUUGCUAGGGCUGUUAUAACAAGGUACCACAGACUGAGUGUCUGAAGGAACAGAAAUUCAUUUUCUCACAAUUUUGGAUGAUAAAAGUCAGAUCAAGGUAUCAGCAGGGUUGGUUUCUUGUAAGUCCUCUCUCCUUGGUUUGUAGAUGGCUGUCUUUUCCCUGUGUCUCCACAUGGUCUUCUAUCUGUACCUGUCUGUGUCCUAUUUUCCUUUUCUUAUGUGGUAUCAAAAGACAAAAUUACAACAUACUUAGUUAUAGAUCUAAUGGCUUUUAUUCACAAUUCGUGAAUCAAGGCAGCCUCCAUUCUACAAAACAGAAUGAGAGCUCCCACUGGACAAAGUCAGAACAGUGAGUUUCGUAAAGUGAGAACAAGGAAACAGAAUAAUAGAAAAAAACGGAUUGGUUGCCAGGUGCAGUGACUCAUGCCUGUAAUCCCAGUACUUUGGAAGGCUGAGGUGGAGUUUGAGACCAAUCUGCGUAACAAAAGGAGACCCUCAUCUUCACAAAAAAAUUUAAAAUUAGCUAGGCGUGGUGGCAUGUGUCUGUAGUCCCAGCUACUUGGGAGGCUGAGGUGGGAGGAUCACUUGAGCCCAGGAGGUUGAGGCUGCAGAAAGCCUUGAUCAUACCACUGCACUCCAGCCUAGGUGACAGAGUGAGACCCUGUCUCAGAAACACAAAACAAAACUGAUUGGUUAACAACAGAUUACUUCAGGUUACUUUUUUUCUAAAGUUUAAAGCAGAGCGGAAUUCCUUAUUAUGCUGACUGGAAUCUCCUAUUUUCAGGAAAAACUAGGCUAUUUGGGAAUCUAUUUGCUUCCUUAAAGUUUUAGUUUGAUUAUGUGACAUUUAGCAUGAGUGACUCCAUUUUGAUUUGGUCUGGUCUGUUGGGUCCUAGAGCAGAAACUCAGUACAAAACAAUGGCCUGCCGUAAUUUCUUCUUUUUUUCUUUUUUUAGACAUAAUCUUGCCCUGUUGCCAGGCUGGAGUGCAGUGGCAUGAUCUUGGCUCACUGUACCCUCCACCUCCCAAGUUCAAGUGAUUCUCCUGCCUCAGACACCCGAGUAGCUGGAACUACAUGCGUGUGCCACCAUACUAAGCUAAUUUUUGUAUUUUAGUAGAGAUAGGGUUUCACCACGUUGGCCAGGCUGGUCUUGAACUCCUGGCCUCAAGUGAUUUGCCCACCUCAGCCUCCCAAAGUGCUGGGAUUACAGACAUGAGCCACCAUGCCUGGCCACCUGCCAUAAUUUCUGUUGAACAAAGGAAACCACUCAUAUUGGAUUAGGGCUGGCCCUAAUAACCUAUUUUAACUUAAUUACAUCUUUAAAGAUCCUCUAUCCAAAUAAAGCACAUUCUAAAGUACUGGGGGUGGGCCAGGUGCAGUGGGUCACACCUGUAAUCCCAGCACUUUGGGAGGCUGAAGUGGGCAGAUCACCUGAGGUCAGAAGUUCGAGAGCAGCCUGGCCAACAUGGUGAAACCCCGUCUCUACUAAAAAUACAAAAAAUUAGCUGGGUGAAGUGGCAUGCACCUGUAAUCCCAGUUACUCGGGUGGCUGAGGCAUGAGAAUCUUUUGAACCCAGGAGGCAGAGUUUGCAGUGAGCUGAGAUCGUGCCACUGCACUCCAGGCUGGAUGGCAGAGUGAGCCUCUGUCUCAAAAAAAUAAAAAAUAAAUAAAUAAAAUACUGGGGGUGACCAGGCGUGGUGGCUCAUGCGUAUAAUAAUAGCACUUUGGGAGGCCGAGGCUGGGAUUACAGGUGUGCCACCAUGCCCAGCUAGUUUUUGUAUUUUUAGUAGAGACAGUGUUUUGCCAUGUUGGCCAGGCUGGUCUUGAACUCCUGACCUCAAGUGAUCCACCCACCUCGGCCUCCCAAAGCGCUGAGAUUACAGGCAUGCGCCACUGCGCCUGGCCAAUAAUGUGAAUUCUUGAUCCUUGCUGAUUUCUGCUGAGAACUAACAUCAGCAUCAGUCUGUCACAGAUGGUGUUGGAACAGAACCUAAGGAAGGUAUGACCCCAAACAAAUCUGAUCUUAGACCUUGGAAGGCUUUCAGUUGUUUCAGUGAUUAACAGGUGAACUAGGAAGAGAGCUGCCGCAGAAAGGGUAGAGUGGAGGCCACUUGUUUUAAGCUUUGCAUAUCAAAUAGCCUUCCAUGACCAACCACUGACAGCUGGCCAACAGCAGCAGUGGUGGUGGGGUGUGGGGCCAGACACCAUCUCCUGCACCAUCAGCUUCACGUGCUGAAUUGCUCUGAAAGCCUCAGCCUGAUUUUCCCUUGUCACCAGUUUCCUCUUUAAGGCCAGACUUUCCAAGGAAGGAAAAAUAGAGCACAUUUCCAUCUCAUUCACCUACUCUUCCCAAGCCUAUCCUUGGGAGCUUCGAGAGUUCUUCCCCUCUCGCACUGCAUUCUUUUUUGCUUUUAAAUUUUAUUUUGGAUCCAGAGGAUACAUGUGCAUAUUUGUUACAUGCGUAUAUUGGGAGAUACUGGGGCAGAGGAGAUGAUUUCAUUAUUUUUAUGGCUGCACAGUAUUUCAUGAUGUAUAUGUACCACAUUUUCUUUAUCCAAUCCACUGGACACUUAGGUGGAUUCUAUGACUUUGCUAUUGUAAAUAAUGCUGUGCUCAACAUAUGAGUGCCAGUGUCAGACUGGAUUCUAAUAGAAUCAGUGCUAAUCUUCACAGUGCUGGGCUCAGUCAUGCUGUGGCUGAUAUUAAUUGGGUCUGAAGUAAUCUUAAUGCACUUUUACCAUCUUAUACUUCCCUUAACUCCUGGAAAAAUCUUGUUAGCUGUGCCAAGAGAAUGGUCAUCUAGCCUUUUAAGACCAUUUUAAGAAGUCAUCUUUUUUGGAAGCAAUUGAGCAACUGUACAAGCAUAUUCAUAGUUUGUAACAGAAGAAAAUUGGAAACAAUCUAAAUAUCCAUUCAUAGGCUAAUGUGUUCCUUCUGGAAUAGCUUCUCAACUAUUUAAAUUGUUCAUAAUGGAAAUGCGUUCAUAUGACUUAUGCCAAGUGAUGGCUCCGGCCUUCUUAGUAGUCCCUCUUCAUUGUUCUUGCCCUUUAUAAUCAUUCUCACUGCAUUCUUGGUGAUCUAUUAAAAUACAAAUAUGAUUAUGGCAUUUCUAGGCCUAACGGAUUUUUUGUGUGUGUGUGCCGAAGUCUUGCUCUGUCACCCAGGCUGGAGUGCAGUGGCACUAUUAUGGCUCACUGCAGCCUCGACCUCCCAGGCUUAGAUGAUCCUCCCACCUCAGCCUCCAGAGUAGCUGUGGGACACGCACCACCACACCUGGCUAAGUUUUGUAUCUUUUGUAGAGGUGAGGUUUUGCCAUAUUGCCCAGGCUGGUCUCAAACGCCUGAGCUCAAGUGAUCCUCCCAGCACGGCCUCCCAAAAUGCUGAGCUUACAGGCAUGAGCCACCAUGCCCAGCCCUAAAGCUUUUUUAUGGUUUAUUUCUCACUGUUUAUUCACCACAUUCCAAGUGCCUCAGUGCACGUGUGGCAGCCCUUCACGAGCUGUUCCUGCUCCCUUCUGCAGCCUCAUCUAUCAUGCCCAUACUCUACUUUCCAACUAUACAUUUCAACUCUGCAUCACUCUAACCUCUGAACCAAGUGGCUUCUUUCACAACUACCUGGCUUUGCAUGUGCUCUGCUGUCUGCUUUCAGUACCUUCCUUCUCCAAAAUCAAACUCAAACUCAAGCAUUACUGUCCCUCUCCACCCUCAGAAAAGCUAAGUCCACCCUAAUAUGUUCCAACAGCCCCUCUGGGCUCUUGGCACACUCUGCACAAAGCUGUCUGUGUUCAUGCCUUGUCAACUUUGUCUUCUCCACUAGAAUGUGUGCUCUUGAAGCUAAGAGGUGUUUUGAUGUCUGUAUUCUCCACUGAAGCACAAACCCUACUAGUAAUUAAAUGCUGAAUGAAUAAAGUAUUUCAUUAUGCUAAAUGAAAAACGAAUAGCUGUACGACCCUUCUAAUGAUUAUAUCUACGAGUUCCUUCUGUUUGCUCUAGCCUGUACUUAAUCAUUUAAAUCAUAUUCACACACAAAAAAUAUUGGGCUGCCAGGCACGGCGGCUCACGCCUGUAACACCAGCACUUUGCUAGGCUGAGGCAGGAUUGCCUGAGCCCAGAAGUUCAAAACCAGCCUGGACAACAUGAUGAGAUCCCAUCUCUUCCACACGCAAAAAAGUUGGACUGGUGGAAGAGAGGUCCCAUACAAAAUGUUCAGUCUCGGCCAGGCAUGGUGGCUCAUGCCUGUAAUCCUUGUUCUUUGGGAGGCUAAGGUGGGAGGAUUGCUUAAGGCCAAGAGUUUGAGAUCAGCCAGGGCAAUAUAGUAAGACCCCCAUCUCUACCAAAAAAAUAUUUUGAGUGUAGUGAGUAUGGUGAGACUGAGUGUGGUGGCACGUACCUGUACUCCCAGCUACUGGGGAGGCUGAGGUGGGAGGAUUUUUUGAGCCCAGGAGGUCAAGGCUGCAGUGAGCUAUGAUGGUGCCACUGCCUGGGUGACAGAGCAAGACCAUGACUCAAAAAAACUGCACAAAAAAACAAAAAACAAAAUGCUCCAUCUAAGGCCCAACCCUUCUAAAGAUGAUCUGGCCUGCUCACAGUAAUAAAGCCCAUCUGUAGUCCUCAGCCCUUGAAGUCUUUUGCCUUGGGAACUUCACUGGGAUAUCCUGUCUUUGGAGGAUUAGACACAUAUCACUUUGACCCUGUAAUCUGUCCACCUCACUCUUCUCAUUAGGUUUUGCCUCAGGCUGGCACAAGUCUCUACUGUAUGAACCCGUUGCCAAAGCAAUUUUUAAAAAAUAUUUAUUUGGCCAGGUGUAAUGGCUCACGCCUGUAAUCCUAGCACUUUGGGAGGCCAAAGCAGGUGGAUCACUUGAGGUCAGGAGUUUGAGACCAGACUAGGCAACAUGGUGAAAAACUGUUUCUACUAAAAAUAGAAAAAUUAGCUGGGCGUGGUGGCAUAUGCCUGUAGUCCCAGCUACUCAGUCUCAGAUACUCCAGCAAGCCAGGAGAAUCACUUGAACCUGGGAGGCAGAGGUUUCAGUGAGUCAAGAUCGUGCCGCUGCACUCUAGCCUGGAAAACAAAGCGAGACUCUUUCUCAAAAAAAUUAAAAAAAAAAAGUUUGCUUAAAAUCCAGAUCCUGCACAAGCAAUUUUGAAAUAUGAAAAUAUUUCAAACAUAGUGAAAAUGAAUUCCUCUAGGAUGCUGUGAUGGUUAAUAUUAGGUGUCAACUUGAUUGGCUUGAACGAUGCCCAGGUAGCUGGUAAGGUAUUGUUUCUGGGUGUGUCUGUGAGGAUGUUACCAGAGGAGUUUGACAUUUGAGUCAGUGGACUGGGAGAGGCAGACCCACUCUCAAUGUGGUGGGCACCAUCCAAUCGGCUGCCAGUGUGGCUAGAACAAAGCAGGCAGAAGAAGAUGGGAUAAGCUGGCUUGCUAAAUCUGCUGGCUUUCAUCUUUAUCCCAUGCUGGAUGUUUCCUUCUGUUCCUCCUGCCCUUGGAUGUCAGACUCCAGGUUCUUUGGACUUUGAAUUCUGGGACCUGCACCAAAGCUCCGGGCCCAGGGAGUGAGAAGGAGCAACCACUCUGGACUUAUUAGUGAGACAUGUGCAUGCCAGGGGAUGGGAAAUAAAUCAACUAAGGCUGGGUGUGGUGGCUCACACCUGUAAUUCCAGCAUUUUGGGAGGCUGAGGGGGGUGGAUCACUUGAGGUCAGGAGUUCAAGGCCAGCCUGACCAGCAUGGUGAAACCCUGUCUCUACUAAAAAAAAUACAAAAUUAGCUAGGUGUGGUGGCACAUGCCUGUAAUCCCAGCUACUUGGGAGGCUGAGGCAGGAGAAUUGCCUGAACCUGGGAGACGAAGGUUGCAGUGAGCCGAGAUAUUGCCAUUGCACUCCAGCCUGGGCAACAAGAGUGAAACUCCAUGGAAGCAAGCAAGGAACGGUGCGGGGGAGAGAGAGAGAGAGAAAGAAAGAAAGAAAAGAAAGAAGGAAGGAAGGAAGGAAAGAGAAAAGAAAGAAAGAAGGAAAGAAGGAAAGAAAGAAAGAAAGAAAGAAAAGAAAGAAAGAAAGAAAGAAAGAAAGAAAGAAAGAAAGAAAGAAAGAAAGAAAGAAAAAAUAAAUCAACUAAAAUUCAGGGACCUUCUACCUCAGGGAAAUUUCUAGGGAUCAGUGGUGUGGGCCUGUAGAGAAUUUCCUUCUAAGGUAAGGGGUAAGUUGUUGCAUUUGGCCCCUCCUACAGCCAAGAAAGGGGUACAACAACUAGUGGGCCUAUUUGGAUUUUGGAGGCAGCACAUUCCUCAUUCAGGUGUGUUACUCCGGCCCAUUUACGUUUUUGCACUUGGGCCAUAUGACCCAGCAGAUCCAAUGAUGCUUGAGGUGUCUGUGGCAGAUAGGGAUACUGUUUGGAGCCUUUGGCAGGCCCCCAUAGGUGAAUCAUAGUGGAGACCUCCAGGACUUUGGAGCAAGGCCCUACCAUCUUCUGCAGAUAACUACUCUCUUUUUGAGAGACAGCUCUUGGCCUGUUACUGUGCCUUGGUAAAAACCAAACGUUUGAUUGUGGGUCACCAAGUUACCAUGUGACCUGAACUGCCUAUGAUGAACUGGGUCUUUUCUGACCCAUCUAGCCAUAAAGUUGGGCAUGUACAGCAGCACUCCAUCAUCAAAUAGAAGUGGUAUAUACAUGACUGGGCUCGAGCAGGUCCUGAAGGCACAAACACAUUACAUGAGGAAGUGGCCUAAAUGCCCAUGGUCCCCACUUCUGCCACCCUGCCUUCUCUUACCCAGUCUGCACUGAUGGCCUCAUGGGGUGUUCCCUAUGAUCAGUUGACAGAGGAAGAGAAGACUAGGGCACAAUAUGCAGGCACCACCUGAAAGUGGACAGCUGCAGCACUGCAGCCCCUUUCUAGAACAUCCCUGAAGGACAAUGGUGAGGGGAAAUCAUCUCAGUGGACAGAACUUCGAGCAGUGCACCUGGUUGUGCACUUUGCAUGGAAGAAGAAAUGGCCAGAUGUGCGAUUAUAUACAGAUUCAUGGGCUGUAACCAGUGGUUUGGCUGGAUGGUCAGGGACUUGGAAGAAGCACGAUUGGAAAAUGGUAACAAAGAAAUGUGGGGAAGAGGUAUGUGGAUGAACCUGUCUGAGUGGUCAAAAACUGAGGAUACUUGUAUCCCAUGUGAGUGCUCCUCAGCAGAGGAGGAGUUUAAUAACCAAGUGGAUAGGAUGGCCCGUUCUGUGGACACCACUCAGCCUCUUUCCCUAGCCAUCCCUGUCAUCGCCCAAUGGGCCCAUGAACAAAGUGGCCAUGGUAGCAGGGAUGGAGGUUAUUCAUGGGCUCAGCAACAAGGACUUCCGCUUACCAAGGCUGACCUGGCUACGACCACUGCCAAGUGCCCAGUUUGCCAGCAGCAGAGACCAACACCGAGCCCUUGAUAUGGCACCCUUCCUCGGGGUGAUCAGCCAGCUACCUGGUGGCAGGUAGAUUAUAUUGGACCUCUUCCAUCAUGGAAAGGACAGCAGAGGUUUGUCUUCACUGCAAUAGAUACUUACUCUGGAUAUGGGUUUGCCUAUCCUGCAUGCAAUGCUUCUGCCAAGACUGCCAUCCGUGGACUCAUGGAAUGCCUUAUCCACCAUCAUGGUAUUCCAGUACAGCAUUGCCUCUGACCAAGGCACUAACUUAAUGGCUAAAGAAGUGCGGCAGUGGGCUCAUGCUCGUGGAAUUCACUGGUCUUACCGUGUUCCCCAACAUCCUGAAGCAGCUGGAUUGAUAGAACAGUGGAAUGGCCUUUUGAAGUCACAAUUACAACACCGACUAGGUGAUAAUACUUUGCAGGACUGGGGCAAAGUUCUCCAGAAGGCUGUGUAUGCUCUGAAUCAGCAUCCAAUAUAAAUAUGGUACUAUUUCUCCCAUAGCCAGUAUUCACAGGUCCAGGAAUCAAGGGGUGGAAGUGAAAGUGGCACCACUCACCAUCACCCCUAGUGACCUGCUAGCAAAAUUUUUGCUUUCUGUUCCCAUGACAUUUUGUUCUGCUGACCUAGAGGUCUUAGUUCCAGAGGGAGGAAUGCUGCCACCAAGAGACACAACAAUGAUUCCAUCAAACUGGAAGUUAAGAUUGCCACCUGAACACUUUUGGCUCCUCCUUCCUCUAAGUCAACAGGCUAAGAAAGGAGUUACAGUGUUGGCUGGGGUGACUGACUAUCAGGAUGAAAUCAGACUACUACCCCACAAUGGAGGUAAGGAAGAGUAUGCGUGGAAUACAGGAGAUCCCUUAGGGUGUCUCUUAGUAUUACCAUGCCCUGUGAUUAAGGUCAACGGGAAAGUACAACAACCCAAUCCAGGCAGGACUACAAAUGGCUGACCCGUCAGGAAUGAAGGUUUGGGUCCACCAGGCGAAAAAACAUGACCAGCCGAGGGGCUUGUUGAAGGCAAAGGGAAUACAGAAUGGAUAUUAGAAGAAGGUAGUUAUCAAGACCAACUAUGAUCACGUGACUGGUUGCAGAAAAAAUGACUGUAAUUGUCAUGAAUAUUUCCUCCUUAUUUUGUUAAGAAUAUGUUUGUGCAUGUACACACCUUUACUAAGAAAAUCUGUUUUAUUUCCUUUCUUUUUCCUUUGUCAUGUAACGUAAGAUUUGUUGACUUUAUAUCAGCAUUUAAGUGUUGCUACUUUAUGUAAUAAUAUUUAGGUUAAGGACGGGUGCGCUUCCGGCUGUACGAAGGAUAGUUGCAUUAUGUUAGGCGUAAUUAUGACCUUAUUGUAUUUAUUUGUAGAUUAAGUAUGAUUUCAGGAGAUGUGUGUGAAUGCCAAGUUGACAAGCGGUGGGCUUGUGUUGGUUAAUAUUAGGUGUCAACUUGAGUAGAUUGAAGGAUCCUAGAUGGCUGGUAAAGUAUUGUUUCUGGGUUGUCUGUGAGGGUGUUGCCAGAGGAGAUUGACAUUUGUGUCGGUGGACUGGGAGAGGGAGACCCACCCUCAGUGUCGAUGGGCACCAUACAAUCUGCUGCCAGUGUGGCUAGAAUGAAGCAGGUGAAGAAGGUGGGAUAAGCUUUGUCUGCUGAGUCUUCUGGCUGCCUCCUUUCUCCCAUGCUGGAUGUUUGCCUCCACUCCUCCUGCCCUUGGACAUCAGACUCCAGGUUCUUUGGACUUUGGACUCUGGGACUUGCACCAGUGGCUUGUAAGGGGCUCUCGGGCCUUCAGCCACAGGCUGAAGGCUGCACUGUUGGCUUCCCUCAUUUUGAGGCUUUUGGACUCAGACUGAGCCACUUACCGGCUUCUCCCCCAGACUGCAGAUGUCCUAUUGUGCCCUUCGCCUUGUAAUCGUGUGAGCCAAUUCUCCCUAAUAAACUACUUUUCAUAUAUGCAUAUAUCCUAUUAGUUCUGUCCGUCUGGAGAACCUUGACUAAUACAGAUGCUUUAUCUGCAAAUGUAUGUGAAUUUGCCUCAGAAGUGAUUGCUUAAGCUGCAAAGCACUGAC
rnacentral:lncRNA from 1 species